ACACGUGGGCAAUCUGCCCUGCACUUCGGGAUAAGCCUGGGAAACUGGGUCUAAUACCGGAUAGGACCUUUAGGCGCAUGUCUUUAGGUGGAAAGCUUUUGCGGUGUGGGAUGGGCCCGCGGCCUAUCAGCUUGUUGGUGGGGUGAUGGCCUACCAAGGCGACGACGGGUAGCCGGCCUGAGAGGGUGUCCGGCCACACUGGGACUGAGAUACGGCCCAGACUCCUACGGGAGGCAGCAGUGGGGAAUAUUGCACAAUGGGCGCAAGCCUGAUGCAGCGACGCCGCGUGGGGGAUGACGGCCUUCGGGUUGUAAACCUCUUUCACCAUCGACGAAGGUCCGGGUUUUCUCGGAUUGACGGUAGGUGGAGAAGAAGCACCGGCCAACUACGUGCCAGCAGCCGCGGUAAUACGUAGGGUGCGAGCGUUGUCCGGAAUUACUGGGCGUAAAGAGCUCGUAGGUGGUUUGUCGCGUUGUUCGUGAAAUCUCACGGCUUAACUGUGAGCGUGCGGGCGAUACGGGCAGACUAGAGUACUGCAGGGGAGACUGGAAUUCCUGGUGUAGCGGUGGAAUGCGCAGAUAUCAGGAGGAACACCGGUGGCGAAGGCGGGUCUCUGGGCAGUAACUGACGCUGAGGAGCGAAAGCGUGGGGAGCGAACAGGAUUAGAUACCCUGGUAGUCCACGCCGUAAACGGUGGGUACUAGGUGUGGGUUUCCUUCCUUGGGAUCCGUGCCGUAGCUAACGCAUUAAGUACCCCGCCUGGGGAGUACGGCCGCAAGGCUAAAACUCAAAGGAAUUGACGGGGGCCCGCACAAGCGGCGGAGCAUGUGGAUUAAUUCGAUGCAACGCGAAGAACCUUACCUGGGUUUGACAUGCACAGGACGCGUCUAGAGAUAGGCGUUCCCUUGUGGCCUGUGUGCAGGUGGUGCAUGGCUGUCGUCAGCUCGUGUCGUGAGAUGUUGGGUUAAGUCCCGCAACGAGCGCAACCCUUGUCUCAUGUUGCCAGCGGGUAAUGCCGGGGACUCGUGAGAGACUGCCGGGGUCAACUCGGAGGAAGGUGGGGAUGACGUCAAGUCAUCAUGCCCCUUAUGUCCAGGGCUUCACACAUGCUACAAUGGCCGGUACAAAGGGCUGCGAUGCCGCAAGGUUAAGCGAAUCCUUUUAAAGCCGGUCUCAGUUCGGAUUGGGGUCUGCAACUCGACCCCAUGAAGUCGGAGUCGCUAGUAAUCGCAGAUCAGCAACGCUGCGGUGAAUACGUUCCCGGGCCUUGUACACACCGCCCGUCACGUCAUGAAAGUCGGUAACACCCGAAGCCAGU
rnacentral:rRNA from 1 species